rnacentral:rRNA from 1 species
UACAGAGGUCCCAAGCGUUGUUCGGAUUCAUUGGGCGUAAAGCGCGCGUAGGCGGCCCGGUAAGUCCGUUGUAAAAGUCAAAGGCUCAACCUUUGAAAGCCGAUGGAUACUGCCGGGCUAGAAUCCGGAAGAGGCGAGUGGAAUUCCUGGUGUAGCGGUGGAAUGCGCAGAUAUCAGGAGGAACACCAACAGCGAAGGCAGCUCGCUGGGACGGUAUUGACGCUGAGGCGCGAAAGCGUGGGGAGCAAACAGG